rnacentral:rRNA from 1 species
AUUGAACGCUGGCGGCAUGCCUUACACACGCAAGUCGAACGGCAACACGGGUACUUGUACCUGGUGGCGAGUGGCGAACGGGUGAGUAAUACAUCGGAACGUACCUUAUCGUGGGGGAUAACGCAGCGAAAGCUGUGCUAAUACCGCAUACGCCCUGAGGGGGAAAGCGGGGGAUCGAAAGACCUCGCGCGAUUAGAGCGGCCGAUGCCUGAUUAGCUUGUUGGUGGGGUAAAAGCCCACCAAGGCGACGAUCAGUAGCUGGUCUGAGAGGACGAUCAGCCACACUGGGACUGAGACACGGCCCAGACUCCUACGGGAGGCAGCAGUGGGGAAUUUUGGACAAUGGGGGAAACCCUGUUCCAGCAAUGCCGCGUGAGUGAAGAAGGCCUUCGGGUUGUAAAGCUCUUUUGUCAGGGAAGAAACACCGGCUCUAACACAGUCCGGGAAUGACGGUACCUGAAGAAUAAGCACCGGCUAACUACGUGCC